rnacentral:rRNA from 1 species
CCUACGGGAGGCAGCAGUGGGGAAUUUUGCACAAUGGGGGAAACCCUGAUGCAGCGACGCCGCGUGAGUGAAGAAGGAUUUCGGUAUUUAAAGCUCUAUCAGUAGGGAAGAAAAUGACGGUACCUGAUUAUGAAUCCCCGUCUAACUACGUGUCAGCAGCCGCGGUACUACGUAGGCGGCAAGCGUUAUCCGGAUUUACUGGGGGUAAAGGGAGCGUAGACGGGUGCACAAGUCUGGAGUGAAAGGCCGGGGCUUAACCCCGGAACUGCUUUGGAAACUGUGCAGCUAGAGUGCAGGAGAGGUAAGUGGAAUUCCUGGUGUAGCGGUGAAAUGCGUAGAUAUUAGGAAGAACACCAGUGGCGAAGGCGGCUUACUGAACUGUAACUGACGUUGAGGCUCGAAAGCGUGGGGAGCAAACAGGAUUAGAUACCCGAGUAGUC